rnacentral:tRNA from 1 species
AGCAGUGUGGCUUAGUGGAAAGACCCCGGGCUUCAGAGUCAGAGGACAUGGGUUCUAAUCCCAGCACUGCUA